CUGAUUGGGCCGUUUCGUGAAGAGUACAAACAACUAAAAUGGUGCUUCUACAUACACCAACCAAAAUUUUAAUUUAAUUUCUAUUAAUCUAUUCAGAUUUCAGAGAGAGAAAAUUUAAAUGAGACUUUAUGAAGUAAAUCCAUCACCUAGACUUAAGACUGGAUAGAGUGGAUCAAAAGCCUUUUUACUACACCAGACAGAAACUGGAAUUAGUGUAGCGGCUGGAAAUAGAUAUGCAUACCCUAUAUCUUUGGAAACAUCUACAGAAAACCUUAAUUUUAUCAAACCCAACAAGAACACACGGCCAAUAUCAGAAUACAAUCGUCUUUAGUCUUUAUCUAAUUUUAUUCUCUUCUUCUCCUUCCAACUUUGCCUCUUUAUUUUCUCAAGCCUUGUUUGCACAAACAGCUAGACACAGAUGUACACAUUGUAAAAGGAAACAAAGCCACAACAGAAUAUCAUGCUCUGUUUCAAAUUGCUUCCAUUCCUUCUACCAACUUUGGUUUUCACUUUAUCAGCUUCCUUUUCCCUCUCUGAUGAUGGAGCUUCUGAGCAUCAUGUGGUUUCCUGGGGUACGAUUACGAAAAGGCAUGUCCUUGAGGCAACGAAUGCUGAACUUGUACAAAGCCCAUCUCUGAUAUUGGCUGCGAAGAGAACACACAGAAGAGACCCUCUUGAUGGUUUUAACUAUUACAGAGGAGGAUGGAAUAUCAGCGAAGAACACUAUUUCUUUUCUGUAGGAUUUACUGCUGCUCCUCUGUUCAUCAUGGCUGCUAUAUGGUUUCUGGGAUUUGUGCUGUGCUUCUUCUCCAUUUUCCUUUGCCAUUGCUGCUUCCAAAACCAUGAUUACGGCUACUCUCGAGUUGCGUAUUGGGUUUCCCUCGUCUUCAUCCAACUAUUCACCAUUGAUGCAGUCACUGGAUGCCUCGCUCUAUAUAUUGGACAAGGUAAUUUUAACAGAGUCACAAGAGGCACACUAGAUUUUGUUGAGAAUCAAGCAGACUUCAUUGUGGAGAAUCUGAGGGAUGUAUCUGAAAAUCUUGAAGCAGCUAAGCAUGUCGCAGUUGGUUGGACUUUUUUUCCUCCUAAUAUAUUGAAAGAAAUUGACAGAGUUGAGAAGAAGGUUAAUGCUUCUGCUAACAAUCUGGAGCAUGAAACAGAGGACAAUUCUAAUAAUAUACAAGAGGUCAUAGAUUCUGUAAGAGUGAUUCUCAUCGUACUUGCAGCUAUAUUGCUUCUCUUGGCUUUUUUUGGUUCUGGUUAAUUCUUUUGACCCUAUAAAUUGCACCAAUUUUUCAGUUCCACUCACAUUGUUCUUUUGCAAGUUGUUUUCUAAUUUCAAAAUAAAAAUAAAAUAAAAUAAUUUUACAUACAUGCAUACAUAUAUAUAUAUAUGAACAAUUCUGUGCUUUUGAAACUGUAAGUAAAUUUUCAGUAAAUGAUGACCAAACAAAUUUAUUUGUCCUUACUAUUUUUUUCUAUUUACUCGUUGCAGUGUUUUCAGUUUUGGGCAUGAAAUGUCUUGUGUAAGCAUUGGUGAUCAUAGGGUGGAUACUUGUAACAGUUACUUUUAUUUUAAGUGGCAUAUUUCUAGUACUUCAUAAUGUAGCAGCCGAUACUUGUGUUGCAAUGGAUGAAUGGGUUCAGAACCCAGUGGCUCAUACAGCUUUCGAUGAUAUCCUCCCGUGUAGACAAUUCAACAGCUCAAGAAACACUCAACAAAACCAAAGAGACAACCUUCCAAUUGGUCGGAAUUGUUAACCAGUUUAUAAACAAUUUGGCCAACCUCAACAAUGUUCCACCAAAUGCAGGCCCUAUUUACUACAAUCAGUCUGGUCCUUGGGUGCCUGUCCUGUGUAAUCCAUUUCAUCCCAAUAACACCCACAGGAACUGUGUUCAUGGUGAAGUGGAAUUUACCAAUUCAACAGAAGUAAAAAAAAUAAAAAAAACAAGACUCUAUUAUAUGUUAAUCUGUGUAGGUGAAAUUCCCCAAUUCUAAAAUUCCAGGCAUAUUUGUUUUGGCUGUGUUUUGUUGUUUUGCAGGAAUGGAGGAAGUAUGUGUGCCAGGUUUCAGCAACUAAUAUAUGCAUCACAGUGGGGCGUCUGACCCCAGUUUACUAUGAUCAAUUGAUAUCGACUGUGAAUGUGAGCUAUGCAUUGUAUCAUUAUGGACCCUUCCUGGUUGAGUUAGAAGAAUGCAGUUUUGUUAGACAAACACUGAAAGAAAUCAGUAAAAAUGAUUGUCCAGGGCUUAAACACCAUAGCAGAAGGAUUGUUGUGUGGUUGGCUAUGGCUUCUGCUGCACUCAUGAUUUCUUCCACCUUCUGGGUUCACCAUUCAGCACAGAAGCGAAAACAAAGUUAUAAUGGACAAUAUGCAUCUACAAUCUCCGAGUCUGCUCAAGAUCGUCCAGUAGGAGUCAGGAACAUGGAGUGAGUUUCGAAGGUCAUGUAUAGAUAUAAAUUCUGUGUGAGUAUUAUAUAAAUUUAGUAUUCUUAUAAUAGACUAUGUUACUAGUUGGAGAAGAUAGAUCUAAAAGGAGCUGCAACUGUUAUCAUAGGUUGACAACAGAAUCAGCUGGUUGGUCCACAGCAUUUUUUAUUUACAUAUUUAAUUAAUAGAAUGAUUGAACCAUACCAUAAA